rnacentral:rRNA from 1 species
ACGAACGCUGGCGGCGUGCUUAACACAUGCAAGUCGAAUGGAAAGGCCCUGCUUUUGUGGGGUGCUCGAGUGGCGAACGGGUGAGUAACACGUGAGUAACCUGCCCUUGACUUUGGGAUAACUUCAGGAAACUGGGGCUAAUACCGGAUAGGAGCUCCUGCUGCAUGGUGGGGGUUGGAAAGUUUCGGCGGUUGGGGAUGGACUCGCGGCUUAUCAGCUUGUUGGUGGGGUAGUGGCUUACCAAGGCUUUGACGGGUAGCCGGCCUGAGAGGGUGACCGGCCACAUUGGGACUGAGAAACGGCCCAGACUCCUACGGGAGGCAGCAGUGGGGAAUAUUGCACAAUGGGCGGAAGCCUGAUGCAGCAACGCCGCGUGCGGGAUGACGGCCUUCGGGUUGUAAACCGCUUUCGCCUGUGACGAAGCGUGAGUGACGGUAAUGGGUAAAGAAGCACCGGCUAACUACGUG